CACUUCUAAGGAAGGCAGCAGGCGCGCAAAUUACCCAAUCCUGACUCAGGGAGGUAGUGACAAGAAAUAACAAUAAACCGGCUUAUGCCGGUUUAAUUGGAAUGAGUACAAUUUAAACAUCUUAACGAGGAACAAUUGGAGGGCAAGUCUGGUGCCAGCAGCCGCGGUAAUUCCAGCUCCAAUAGCGUAUACUAAAGUUGUUGCAGUUAAAAAGCUCGUAGUUGGAUUUCUGUGGGGACGGGGCGGCCGGCCGCAACACGCGGUUCGAGCUAGCGCUUUCCCUACAUCCUGCCGCGAACCGUGCUACCAUUAAUUUGGUGGCGCCGGGGAUCGGCUCGAUUACUUUGAGAAAAAUAGAGUGUUCAAAGCAGGCCACAUGCCUUGAAUAAGUUAGCAUGGAAUAAUAACUAAGGACUUCGGUUCUAUUUUGUUGGUGUUCGGGACUGAAGUAAUGAUUGAUAGGGACAGUUGGGGCGGUCUGUAUUCCAAAGCGAGAGGUGAAAUUCUUAGACCUUCGGAAGACAAACAGCUGCGAAAGCGUUCCGCAAGGAUGUUCCCUUUGAUCAAGAACGAAAGUUGGGGGAUCGAAGACGAUCAGAUACCGUCGUAGUCUCAACUAUAAACUAUACCAGCUAGGGAUCGGCCAACGUUAUUUCAUACCGACUUGGUCGGCACCUUAUGAGAAAUCAAAGCAUCUGGGUUCCGGGGGGAGUAUGGUCGCAAGGCUGAAACUUAAAGGAAUUGACGGAAGGGCACCACCAGCCGUGGAGCCUGUGGCUUAAUUUGACUCAACACGGGAAAACUUACCAGGUCCAGACAUAGUAAGGAUUGACAGAUUGAUAGCUCUUUCUUGAUUCUGUGGGUGGUGGUGCAUGGCCGUUCUUAGUUGGUGGAGUGAUUUGUCUGGUUAAUUCCGUUAACGAACGAGACCCCAGCCUGCUAAAUAGCGCGCGUGAGCUUUGCUCGCGGCGAGCUUCUUAGAGGGACUAUGAUGCGCGAUAGCACAUGGAAGUUUGGGGCAAUAACAGGUCUGUGAUGCCCUUAGAUGUUCUGGGCCGCACACGGGCUACACUGGCGCCUGCAACGAGCAUAUCAGCUGGCCCGAGAGGGUCUUGGCUAAUCUUUUGAACCGGCGCCGUGCUUGGGAUUGACCUUUGCAAUUGUUGGUCAUGCAACGAGGAAUGCCUUGUAAACGCGAGUCAUCAGCUCGCAUUGAAUACGUCCCUGCCCUUUGUACACACCGCCCGUCGCUCCUACCGAUGAAUGUUCCGAUGAAAUUUUCGGAGAGCACCUGUGAACUUGGCUCUGCCUUGCGAACGGGAGGCUCAAAGUCACUUAAAUCUGAACAUUUCGAGG
rnacentral:rRNA from 1 species